rnacentral:rRNA from 1 species
AUGGCGUUGACGAGCGACAACGAGGAGGAGUACUACAGCAGCCCCGAGGAGGCGGAGGAGGCCGGCGACGACGACGACCGGAUGAGCUUCCGGACCGCCUCCAACGAAAGCGACAAUGACGCCGGCGCCGGCGACGACGCCGAUGAUGAUUGCUUGUAUGGCGACAGCGACGGCGACGGCGACGAUGGCAUGUACGAUGAAUACGAGGGGGACGAGGAGGAGGGGCUGGAGGAGGUGGAUGAGGAAGGCGGCGUCCUGGACGAGAUGAGGUUCACGGCGACGCAGUACGCCGUGCUGACCAUGGACGAGGUGCGCGCGCGGCAGGAGGAGCACACGGCGCGGGUGGCCGACCUGAUCGCGCUCCCGCCCGCGCUCGCGGCCGCCGUGCUCCGCCACUUCAAGUGGAGCGCCCAGGGCGUGUGGGAGCGGUGGUUCUCGGACGAGCACAAGGUCCGCGACGCCGUCGGCCUGCCCGCGGACGGCGACGCCGUCUCCGUGGCCGUCAACGACGCGCCCCUCACCUGCUACAUCUGCUUCGACGCGCACGGCCCCGGCGAGAUGCGGUCCGCCGGGUGCGCCCACUUCUACUGCCGCGGCUGCUGGAGCGGCUACGUGCGCGCCGCCGUCGGGGACGGCGCCCGCUGCCUGUCGAUCCGGUGCCCGGACAUGGGCUGCUCCGCCGCCGUGGUCCGCGACCUGGUCGACGACGUGGCGGACGCCGACGACGCGAAACGGUACGGCGAGUUCCUGGUCAGGUCGUACGUGGAGGAGAGCAAGAGGCUCCGGUGGUGCCCGGCGCCCGGGUGCGACCGGGCCGUGGAGUUCGACGGCGAGAAGUGCACGGUGCAGCUGGACGCGUGGUGCGCGUGCGGGCACGGCUUCUGCCUCGUCUGCGGCGAGGAGGCGCACCGCCCGGUCGCGUGCGACACGGUGCGGGGGUGGCUGGACAAGAACCGCUCCGACUCGGAGACGGCGCAGUGGGUGCUGGCUAACACGAAGCACUGCCCGGAGUGCCGCCGCCCCAUCGAGAAGAACCAGGGGUGCAUGCACAUGACGUGCUCGCCGCCGUGCAAGCACCAGUUCUGCUGGCUCUGCCUGGGACCCUGGGGCAAGCACGACGGCGGCAACUACAACUGCAACACCUACAACGCCGCCAGGGCGGAGGGCAAGUACACGGAGGAGGAGCUCCGGCGGGCGCAGGCCAAGGCGUCGGUCGACCGCUACCUGCACUACUACGAGCGCUGGGGCGCGCACGAGCGGUCCCGGCAAAAGGCGCUCGAGGACACGGCGGCGCUCGGCAAGGACGGCGCGCAGAGGGAGGCCGUGGCCGCCGCGUUCGGGGUGGUGGAGACGGAGCUCGACUUCCUGGAGGAGGCGUACCGGCAGGUGGCCGAGUGCCGGCGGAUGCUGCGGUGGACGUACGCCUUCGGCUACUACCUGGACGACCCGGCCAAGCGCGACCUGUUCGAGGACCUGCAGAGCCAGGCCGACAAGUCGCUGGAGCGCCUGCACGAGUGCGCCGAGAAGGACAGGACGAGCCUCGUCGCCGAGGCGGCCGGCGAGCACGGCGCGGUGGCCGACAAGUACCUGGAGUUCAGGCCCAGGCUGUCGAGCCUGACGGCCGUGGCGAGGAACCACUUCGAGAACAUGGCCAGGGCGUUCCGGGACGGCCUGGCCGAGGUCGAGGUCGACCCCGCCGUUGCCGCCCGCCGCGCUGCCGCCACCCCUCCUCCACCACCGCUGGACGACGACGACGACGAAGACUUCUUCGAAGAGCUGCGGAUGUAA